rnacentral:lncRNA from 1 species
CCCUGCAGCAUACGGAGUUCCUGGGCCAGGGAUCAGAUCCGAGCCACAGUUCCUACACUGCAGCUGCAGCUAUGCCAGAUCCUUUAACCCACUGUCCCCUUCCCCACCUUUUCAAGAGCUUUGCUAGGGAAGAACAGACCCACAGCAGGGACGGGGCCUGCAGGAAUGACAGGUGGCACCAGACUCCAUGCCCUAACCUCCCCUCCAAGGACCCGCGGCAGCAUCUGCCUGCCCCGGUAUUCUCAGACUGCCGAAUAUGGGUUCUCCUGAUUCAUGGCAAUCUUUUGGGUCUUAGCUGUGCAGGCCUUCAAAAUAAUACUGAUGCCUGAAUCCCCCCACCCUCAGAUCCUCAUUAUGGGGUCUGGAGCGCCACACAAGUUUGGGGAUUUUAAAAACUCCUCCAGCUAUUCGCACAGCCAGAGCUGAGGUUCACCGGUAUAGAGGCAGCGGGUAAGCCUCACCCCAAAUGCCCUCUUCACACCCUGCUUACCCCUCCAACGCCUGACGAAAACCGCCCAGCAGUAACUCCAAAAUAACAUGUGAAAGGAUUACCAGAUGGGAAACAGAACUUAACAGGGCCCAGAUGGCUAAGGCCCUGUCUCAAGAUACUAUGGUAUCUCGGUCAUGAAUCCAAAUGGCCUCGGGAGGAGAGUGUUUCCAAUCCCCUCCACGUCCAGAUGAGCAGGUAAACAUCUCUCCACUCCGAAGCCCCAGUGGCCGGGGUGAGAAAACCUGGACCCUCCAGAGCGAGAUGCUCCCAGCUGCCGUGAGACCGUCGUGGGCAUUUCAAAGACUAUUUCAGAAUCAGGUAUCAGAUCACACGAGGCUACCAAAAAGUAAAAGUUUUUUUAAAAAAAAAGGUUGACGACUUGAAGCUUGUUAAUGAGCAUCGCUGGGAAAGGACAAGAGCUGAGGAAGCCAAUUCGCCCAAUUAGAGGGGGUUUCAGUUCUCUCUGAACUUUGUGACUAGAAGGUGAAGCCUUAGAGAUGGACCUACAGGGUACAGGUGGGCCUCUGGAGCCCCAGGGCAAACCCCAGUGCCUUGUGCUGACCCGCCAUGGCCCUGAACUCUGCUGCAUCUCAACUGGCUCAUCUGUAAAGUGGGAUAACAACAGCGUCUGCCUUGUCGGGCUGGUGGGGGAUUAAACGAGCAUAGGUAAGACCCUUCCAACAGUGUCAGGCACUAGUAAGUGCUCGAUAAAUGCAAAAUACUGGCUUGAUUUUUCACAAUUUUCCCUCUGGCUUAAUCUUUUUAAAAUUGUUUUUUUUUUCCUUUUUAAAGGCUGCACUUGCAGCAUAAGGAAGUUCCCUGGCUAGGGGUGGAAUUGGAGCUGCAGCUGCCGGCCUACAUCACAGCCAUAGCAAUGCAGGAACUGAGCUGUGCCUGCAACCUAUACCACAGGUCAUGGCAAUGCGGGAUCGGUCACCCACUGAGCGAGUCCAGGGAUCCAACCCGCAUCUUCAUGGACACUAGUCGGAUUCAUUUCCACUGUGUCACAAUGGAAACUCCCGAGGUUGCCACCUUCUUAAAAUGAAGAAAUAGACUUAGAGGAGGUCGGUCAAUUGUCAACUGUUCCAGGGCCCAGACGGUCAGUGGCUGGGCAGCAGCACGCCCCAGAUCAUGGGGUUUCAAUUUGGAGGCUGCCGUUACGGGGGAGCUGGCCACCUUGGUGUCCCUGAAAGCAGGGCUCAGGCUCCCCUGGGCCUGGGCUGCAGGAACCAUCCCCCACCCUCCCCUGCACCUACCGCAGGCUGAGCCAGAGGCAGCAGGUGUUCCUGGCCCCUGCCAGCCGGAACUGGGUCCGGGUAGGGCCAACGCCCAAGGAACUGGGUCGCAAGGCCAGUCCCACCACUGCAAAGUCCAGCGAUUAGGGAAACAAUGAACCAGGAGCAAAGCAAACACAAGCCAUCUUUGAAAGCCCGGGGUCCCUCCUCUGUACUCUGCCUACUCCUCCCAACCCCCAAACCAACUACAAUUCUGAGAAGAGCACUUUUAAGGAAGGAAGGGGGAAAAUUAACCACCCAGCUGAACAUUUUCCCAGUAAAGCCAGAACUGGCAUAUCAGAGGCUUCCUUGAAAGACUCUGAGACAUUUGCUGGGGGCAAGUGGAGCUCGGGCCCUGUGCUAGGCAUUGGAGAUCCAGCAAUGAUGAAACAGAUAAAAAUCUUUGCCUCCGGGAGUUCACGUUUUCAUAGGAGGAAGAAUAAUGAAGAGAAUUAUAGAGGGCUAGGAAAUACCGGUGCUUCAGCGAAGUAAUGCCAAUGAUGAAAAGAGCGGCCAAGGCUGACUGAGCACUUACUCUGGGUCUAAGUGCUUUACACACAGGGGCUCAGUUAAUCCUCUCGACAAUGGGUAUUGUUCUCCUGCCCAUUUCACAGACAGGAGAGCAGACAGGAGGCAAGGCGCAGGAGGACCAACAGGCAUGGAGAAAACAAGGAGCGCUGAUAAGAAAGGGCAAGAGGUUCCUUCUUCCCCUUCCUGAUUUUGUUCCGUUUUCAGGAGAGCAAAAUGGGCAGGAAGCCUGGUGUGCUCCCUGGCCUCAAACUGGGAGAGGGGGCUUCAACCAGCGUAGGCCUCUCUACUCCCCGAUGGUUUUUAAGAGAUCGGACAGGGUUGUGGGCCUCUCCAUGUCCUCCCUUUUCUCCCAGAGCUAAGGCUUUGGAGCUGGUUCAGAUCCCAGCUCCACCAGCUCAGCCCUGCCUGGCUCUGGGCAGAGGAGCAUCCACCUGCAGCCUCCCUUUCCGUUGAUGGGAAAUGAAGAUUAAAACUCCCUCUCCCAGGCGACUCAGGAACAGAUGUCAGGUCUGCCCCCCGCCCCCUGCAGUGACGGAUGCCUCGCCAACACUGGAUGCCGAGGACCCCAACUCUCGGGACUCCGAGAUGCCCUCCUCCCUUCUCAAGCGCUGAAAGGGCAGAGACACAGGUCACCCAGCUCUGCACAGAGGGGCCCGUGGCAGGGGGCUGAGCACGGAGCAGACACUCAGGAAAUGCUUGAUCAGUGAACACUGAAGUGAGCGGACAGUGAACCUUCCUUAGAACCUGAGCCCUGGAGUGAACGCAUCUUUAGAAGCGCAGGUUACUAGGCUCGUUCUCCAAGGUGCGAAUCUAAGGUGUUGAAACCAUUCUCACUGUUGAGCGGUGGCACAAGCCUUCAAGGAAAUGGAUUAAAACACCUCAUUAAGCUGGGGCCGCCAUGGCACCAGGACACUCCAAAUGUUCAAUCCAAGGGACACCAGAUCAGGGGCUGUGUGUGACCUGGGACCCUGGCCCACCCUUCAAUCUAGGUCCCAUGAGAUCCAGGGCAAGAUGCUCAGCCAUCACGCCUCAGCCUCCUCCUCUUAAAAACGGGGAGGUUAGGUGCAGAGGGAAUGAAUGGCAGGCCCCAAAGCAGUGGCUUCUCCAACAAGGUCAAAAUCACCGAAACCUACUGAAUCACGUGGGGACGGGAGGCAGGGGCAGAAAUUACCAGCCUGGGU